CCUACGGGUGGCAGCAGUCGAGAAUCAUUCACAAUGGGGGCAACUCUGAUGUUGCGAUGCCGCGUGGGGGAAUGAAGGUCUUCGGAUUGUAAACUCCUGUCAUGUGGGAGCAAAUUAAAAAGAUAGUACCACAAGAGGAAGAGCCGGCUAACUCUGUGCCAGCAGCCGCGGUAAUACAGAGGUCUCAAGCGUUGUUCGUAAUCACUGGGCGUAAAGCGUGCGGGGGCUGUUUCGUAAGUCGUGUGUGAAAGGCGGGGGCUCAACCCGCGGACGGCACAUGAUACUGCGAGACUAGAGAAAAGGAGGGGGAGGCGGAAUUCUCGGUGUAGCAGUGAAAUGCGUAGAGAUC
rnacentral:rRNA from 1 species